AUACGUAGGGGGCGAGCGUUGUCCGGAAUGAUUGGGCGUAAAGGGCGCGUAGGCGGCCCGGUAAGUCUGGAGUGAAAGUCCUGCUUUUAAGGUGGGAAUUGCUUUGGAUACUGUCGGGCUUGAGUGCAGGAGAGGUAAGUGGAAUUCCCAGUGUAGCGGUGAAAUGCGUAGAGAUUGGGAGGAACACCAGUGGCGAAGGCGACUUACUGGACUGUAACUGACGCUGAGGCGCGAAAGUGUGGGGAGCAAAAAGGAUUAGAUACCCUGGUAGUCCACACUGUAAACGAUGAAUGCUAGGUGUAGGGGGUAUCGACCCCUUCUGUGCCGCAGUUAACACAAUAAGCAUUCCGCCUGGGGAGUACGGCCGCAAGGUUGAAACUCAAAUGAAUUGACGGGG
rnacentral:rRNA from 1 species